rnacentral:snRNA from 1 species
UUCCUUUUUCAAAAGUGGUUUUCCCAGGGUGAGGCUCAUCCACUGCACCCCUGGAUUUGCUGACCCUGCAAUUCCCAAAUGUGGAAACUCGACUGUAUAAUUUGUUGUAGUGGGGGAAUGUGUUCACCCUCUCCCCCG